GGGGCUGGUGUGGGCUGCCAGUUAAGAGCUGGCUGGGGGCCAGCUUCACUACCAGACAUUAUCCCUUCCACUUCCAGGAGGGUAAACAAGUCAGGGCACUAAGUGGAAAGAAGAUGAGGAGGUGCACAAUUUAAAGACUGUCCUUAUGAGAAGCCUAUUGGAUGGAUGGGGGUGAGGUGGGCAUGGUUUUUCCCUGUUUCCAGGAGAUAAGAGAAUCGCUUCAAGUCUCUAGGAAGCUGUCUAGGACAGGCAGCGAGAUAGAAAGUGGCAUCCAGUUCAUGAAUGAGUGAAGAUAGGUGCGGGGAACCUCCUGGAACAUUUUUCUUCCUAAGGCCUUCUGAAAAUGUCUCUUCAGGCUAAGGUUAUCUCUCUCAAUGUCCUGAUUUGCUUUUUUGCUACUGAAAAGGAUUUGGAGGAUGACGAGUCAGAUGUCUAUGAAAUGACUCAAGACUUUUGGAGGAAAGAACAAAAAAGACAACACAGAGGAGACUUUCACAGUCCUGAAGGAAAAGAUCAAAUGUUAUUUGUUUGCACUGUUCUUCUUUUGGGCUUCUCUUUUUAAUAAGUUUGCCCAUGAUGAAAGCAACCUAAAAUAUGUCUUAGUUGCUCAUAAAUAAACCAGAAUUAAAUGAA